rnacentral:rRNA from 1 species
AGAGUUUGAUCGUGGCUCAGGACGAACGCUGGCGGCGUGCCUAAUACAUGCAAGUCGAGCGGACAGAAGGGAGCUUGCUCCCGGAUGUUAGCGGCGGACGGGUGAGUAACACGUGGGUAACCUGCCUGUAAGACUGGGAUAACUCCGGGAAACCGGAGCUAAUACCGGAUAGUUCCUUGAACCGCAUGGUUCAAGGAUGAAAGACGGUUUCGGCUGUCACUUACAGAUGGACCCGCGGCGCAUUAGCUAGUUGGUGAGGUAACGGCUCACCAAGGCGACGAUGCGUAGCCGACCUGAGAGGGUGAUCGGCCACACUGGGACUGAGACACGGCCCAGACUCCUACGGGAGGCAGCAGUAGGGAAUCUUCCGCAAUGGACGAAAGUCUGACGGAGCAACGCCGCGUGAGUGAUGAAGGUUUUCGGAUCGUAAAGCUCUGUUGUUAGGGAAGAACAAGUGCAAGAGUAACUGCUUGCACCUUGACGGUACCUAACCAGAAAGCCACGGCUAACUACGUGCCAGCAGCCGCGGUAAUACGUAGGUGGCAAGCGUUGUCCGGAAUUAUUGGGCGUAAAGGGCUCGCAGGCGGUUUCUUAAGUCUGAUGUGAAAGCCCCCGGCUCAACCGGGGAGGGUCAUUGGAAACUGGGAAACUUGAGUGCAGAAGAGGAGAGUGGAAUUCCACGUGUAGCGGUGAAAUGCGUAGAGAUGUGGAGGAACACCAGUGGCGAAGGCGACUCUCUGGUCUGUAACUGACGCUNAAGAGCGAAAGCGUGGGGGAAGCGAACAGGAUUUANAUACCCCUGGUAAGUCCCCC